rnacentral:rRNA from 1 species
GCCACCGUAAGGUGAGAGGAAGGUGGGGAGUGACGUCAAAUACAGCACGGCCCUUAUGUCCAGGGCUACACACGUGUUACAAUGGUCGGUACAAAGGGCAGCUACACCGCGAGGUGAUGCUAAUCUCUAAAGCCGGUCUCAGUUCGGAUCGAAGUCUGCAACCCGACUUCGUGAAGUUGGAUUCGCUAGUAAUCGCGCAUCCAGCCAUGGCGCGGUGAAUACGUUCCCGGGCCUU